UUCUAUGGAGAUAAAAACAAAACAGAUUGACUAUUAUAUGUUCUAUUUAGUUUUCAGGGAUUAUUUAAAUAUAAUCUCUGAAAGAGAAUUGUUCUUUGAAAACUGAAUAUUAGAUGAAAAGCAUUGUAAAAGAUUAAAAUAAAUCAACAAUUUUUAACAAAUAAAAAUAAAUUUUUACUGAAUCAAUUAUCAAUUGCUUUAAGAUUUUU
rnacentral:misc_RNA from 1 species